rnacentral:rRNA from 1 species
CCUACGGGGGGCAGCAGUGGGGAAUAUUGCACAAUGGGGGAAACCCUGAUGCAGCAACGCCGCGUGAGCGAUGAAGGCCUUCGGGUCGUAAAGCUCUGUCCUAAGGGAAGAAUACUGACGGUACCUUAGGAGGAAGCCCCGGCUAACUACGUGCCAGCAGCCGCGGUAAUACGUAGGGGGCAAGCGUUAUCCGGAAUCACUGGGUGUAAAGGGUGCGUAGGCGGUAGGGCAAGUCAGAUGUGAAAGCCCGGGGCUCAACCCCGGGAUUGCAUUUGAAACUGUCUUACUAGAGUGCAGGAGAGGACACUGGCCUCUCUGGUGGAGCCGUGACAGGGCCUGGUAACAGGAAGCAAGUCCGUGGCGAAGGCGGCUUUAUGGGCAUUCACUCGCGCUGAGGCACGAAAGCGUGGGGGGCUAAGAGGGUUAGACGCCCUUGCAGUG